UUUUCCGGUGGCCAUAGUGGAAGGGAAACACCCGGUCCCAUUCCGAACCCGGUCGUUAAGCCUUCCAACGCUGAUGGUACUGCACGAGGGAUCGUGUGGGAGAGUAAGACGCUGCCGGAAU
rnacentral:rRNA from 3 species